rnacentral:lncRNA from 1 species
AUAAGUACGUUUCAUGUUCCUAAGGUUUCCUAUUUAUUACAUGAUAUAAUCACUAAGAACAUUUUCCAUAUUAUUCUUAUUGAUCCUUGUAACUUUCAUUGAUAAUAUAAUCAUUACCAAAUUCUCUACUAUUUAAUUAUUCUGUUAACUUUGAACAUCUUUUUUUUCUUAUUAUAGUGGUAUCUGGGUCAAUUUGCUUGCACCGAAAAGCCUGCUGCAGCCCACCGUAAGCGUGUUGCGAAAUCAGCUCACCCCCUUUCUUAUUAUAGUGCUGUCCGGGUCAAUUUGCUCGCACCUUGACUAUCCUACCGAAAAGCCUGCUGCAGCCCACCGUACAUGUGUCACGAAACCAGCUCACCAUGGUAGAGCAGAUAGACUUAUACCGAGUGUUAUAGCUUAGCUUUGAACCUGAGAUCUCAGGUUGUUACUCAUGUGUGUCAACUACUCAGCCAUUUCCUUGUUCCACGACAUGAAGUGGCUAUGAUAGAAACCUUAGUAUGCAUAUUUUUCUUUGACCAGUUGACUGCAUAUUAACCAGUGAAACUUACCGUAACCUCAGAAGUUGGAGUUGCCAGUUGGUGAUUCUCCUCCUUUGUUUUGUUGUAUCUCUCAAUCAACGACUUCAUGCUGUCAAAGUAAAUAUAUUCAGAAUUGUCUACGUUGUACUGAUUGAGCAAAAAUUUUGGAGUGUAUCACAAAGUUGUUCUGUUUGUUUCUAGUCUAGCC